rnacentral:rRNA from 1 species
UUAAAUUGAAGAGUUUGAUCAUGGCUCAGAUUGAACGCUGGCGGCAGGCCUAACACAUGCAAGUCGAACGGUAACAGGAAGCAGCUUGCUGCUUUGCUGACGAGUGGCGGACGGGUGAGUAAUGUCUGGGAAACUGCCUGAUGGAGGGGGAUAACUACUGGAAACGGUGGCUAAUACCGCAUAACGUCGCAAGACCAAAGAGGGGGACCUUCGGGCCUCUUGCCAUCAGAUGUGCCCAGAUGGGAUUAGCUAGUUGGUGAGGUAACGGCUCACCAAGGCGACGAUCCCUAGCUGGUCUGAGAGGAUGACCAGCCACACUGGAACUGAGACACGGUCCAGACUCCUACGGGAGGCAGCAGUGGGGAAUAUUGCACAAUGGGCGCAAGCCUGAUGCAGCCAUGCCGCGUGUAUGAAGAAGGCCUUCGGGUUGUAAAGUACUUUCAGCGGGGAGGAAGGUGUUGUGGUUAAUAACCGCAGCAAUUGACGUUACCCGCAGAAGAAGCACCGGCUAACUCCGUGCCAGCAGCCGCGGUAAUACGGAGGGUGCAAGCGUUAAUCGGAAUUACUGGGCGUAAAGCGCACGCAGGCGGUCUGUCAAGUCGGAUGUGAAAUCCCCGGGCUCAACCUGGGAACUGCAUUCGAAACUGGCAGGCUUGAGUCUUGUAGAGGGGGGUAGAAUUCCAGGUGUAGCGGUGAAAUGCGUAGAGAUCUGGAGGAAUACCGGUGGCGAAGGCGGCCCCCUGGACAAAGACUGACGCUCAGGUGCGAAAGCGUGGGGAGCAAACAGGAUUAGAUACCCUGGUAGUCCACGCCGUAAACGAUGUCUACUUGGAGGUUGUGCCCUUGAGGCGUGGCUUCCGGAGCUAACGCGUUAAGUAGACCGCCUGGGGAGUACGGCCGCAAGGUUAAAACUCAAAUGAAUUGACGGGGGCCCGCACAAGCGGUGGAGCAUGUGGUUUAAUUCGAUGCAACGCGAAGAACCUUACCUGGUCUUGACAUCCACGGAAGUUUUCAGAGAUGAGAAUGUGCCUUCGGGAACCGUGAGACAGGUGCUGCAUGGCUGUCGUCAGCUCGUGUUGUGAAAUGUUGGGUUAAGUCCCGCAACGAGCGCAACCCUUAUCCUUUGUUGCCAGCGAUUAGGUCGGGAACUCAAAGGAGACUGCCAGUGAUAAACUGGAGGAAGGUGGGGAUGACGUCAAGUCAUCAUGGCCCUUACGACCAGGGCUACACACGUGCUACAAUGGCGCAUACAAAGAGAAGCGACCUCGCGAGAGCAAGCGGACCUCAUAAAGUGCGUCGUAGUCCGGAUUGGAGUCUGCAACUCGACUCCAUGAAGUCGGAAUCGCUAGUAAUCGUGGAUCAGAAUGCCACGGUGAAUACGUUCCCGGGCCUUGUACACACCGCCCGUCACACCAUGGGAGUGGGUUGCAAAAGAAGUAGGUAGCUUAACCUUCGGGAGGGCGCUUACCACUUUGUGAUUCAUGACUGGGGUGAAGUCGUAACAAGGUAACCGUAGGGGAACCUGCGGUUGGAUCACCUCCUUACCUUAAAGAA